AACACAUUGCUCAACAUGGCACAUAUAUAUGAUCAGCUAAUAUUUAUUGAAUGCUUAGACACUUCUCUAAGUGUUUCAUGUGAACUAAGUCAUUUAAUCCUCCAAACAGACAUGCUUAGGUACUCCUCCAAGUAUUUUAUGGGAAUUAACUCAUUAAAUCCUCACAACAAAUUUAUAGGGUAGGUAAUAUUACUAUCUAAAUUUUGCAGAUCAGGCAAUUAAGGCACAGAGAGACUAAUUUGCUCAAGCUGACCCAGCAGCCUGAUGAGGUGGUUUGUCGACGGCCAGGCCUGAAUUUCGAUCCUGGCUGGUUAAACUUUUUAACCUCGUUGGGACUCAGUUUCCUCAUUGUAGGAUGCAGAAAAUAACUACUUGGUGUGAUUGUUGUUUUGAAUUGUUAUACACCUGGUAUUUACGGAAGCGAGUUUCAAUUCAUGUGCAAAACCUUUGUCCUACUUUGAAUGCUAUCUGUAUCUUUUCCUUCAUUAAACUCAUGCAAUCCUGGAGGGCGCUUAGAGGUGGGAGAGAAAAUGACUUCUCCAAGGUCACACCGCUAAUCGCGGACCCAGGUUUCCCAGCUUUUGGUCGUGUGCCCUUUCCACGCCUGCCGGAGAGGAGGAAGCGGCGCUCAUGGGGAUGCAAGGAUGUAGAGGAGCAAAGGGAGAGAAGAGGCCGCGGGAAGAGAGGUGGUACGAGACCCGCGGAGGCGCCGGCCAAGGAAGGGCGCAUGGAGCA
rnacentral:lncRNA from 1 species